UGCGGAUCCAGGAUUCCCUCCAGGUUCGGAGCUCUCGGCUGGCUCUGGAUGCUCUGAGGAGGACGUGGAUGGCAGCCGAGCUCUUCAAACCCAGUGGAUUUUCAGAUGUCAAGGAGAUCUGUGAUAAUUCAGUGACCACCAGGGGGCAUCAGGAUCUCUGGGUGUCCUGAGUAACCGAGCCCACACUGAAUUCGGAUGAGUGUUUGCUGAACCCACGGGAGGCGAGGCACGAGCUAAGCGGCUGGAAGAAAACGCAAGGAGCCGAAGGCACCGCGGACGCGUUUAUUCCCUCCUGGCUGGCGCAGCAGCUGUAGCAGCGGACAUCACACAACGUAAUUGCUCACAAGCCUGACGGGCUUUUCCAGGUGAAGCUUAUAUGUACUUACAGAACAAAAGCAGCCUGUGGCCAAGGGGGCACCUCAUGACGUGCAUGUGCAGUGCGAUAAGUGAUCUCAGCUGCUACAUAACCACCUAAAGUCACUGUUUACAGAGCAGGAGAGCGUGGGGCAGGGGAGCCUGGCUGGCGCCAUCUUGUUAG